CCAGAAGCCGGGUCACAUAAGACGAGAGUGCAGAUUUUUAAAGAAGGAGCAGUCUAAGAAAAAAGAUGAGGAUAAAGAUUCGAUUGUGUAUCUAUCCGACGUUGAUGUAGCUAUUGUUUGUGAUGAUAAACCCAAGUGCCGUGUUAAUGAUUGGAUUAUUGAUUCGGCUGCUUCGUUCCAUGCUACUUCGCGUGGUGAAAUCUUCACAUCCUAC
rnacentral:lncRNA from 1 species